UCUGUAUGUUUUGUUUUGUUUUUGUUGUUUAUUGCAGAGUACUGAGAGCCAGCAUCACCACCCAUUACACUGGAAAUGCACUGCACAGCACAGCACGACGAACACCACACCGGAGAGCACUUGCAGUGCACUAAGCAGACAAGUUUUCAGGUCUCGUCUCAUCUCGGUUUCCUUUAUCCCCGCCUGAGGUCAUUCAGAGCUGCCUAUGAUGUUUUGAUGCAAGCUGGUCAUUGAUGCAAGGCUUCCUGCUUUCAAAGAGGCCCUAGUCUGUCUACAUGCUGUGACAGGGAGAUUUGCUGAUUUAUUUAAAAGGUUAACCCGGAAACUCUAGCCCAGGGAAAGUUAACAAUUAAAGGUAAUUUCCAAUCCGACGACUGCCACUGUGAAAUCCAUUCUAUUUCCCCUGCAAUUAAGGAGCCACUUUUCCAUAGAAAGAGAUUACAAUCUGUAUACAGUUUAAAUUUAAACCUCCAUGUCUCCUGUAUUAGUCAAAACAGAGUUCUUGCAAAGUAAAGGUUGGUUCAUACUUCAGUUUCUGGUCGGAGUGGAGGGUCUCAGACCCUGUGCGACAGGUCAGAAUGACGUGUGUCCGUUUUGGAAAGUCGUACAGCCUUUUCUCAUGCGUCUGUGACCUGAAAUGUUAAAAAAUGUCCACAUUUGCUGCAUGGUCGGGGUGAUGCUGCACAGCUUUUAUAGCUGUCUGCACCUGAUGUAUCGCAUUCAUCUGUGACAGAAGUAUGAACCAGCCCUAACACUUUAUUUGAAAACAGGCAGUUGCUAUGCGUACGGCUGCUGUACAUAUUAGAAGAAUUCUAUUUUUCCGGCAAUGUGUCACAUGACUCGAAAUUACAUCAUUAUUCUCCUGGAAGGCUAGGGGGUAGUUUAUUAAUACGGCUACAGCAGCUGGAACAAUAAUAUGCGUACAACUGCUGUACAUAUUAGAAGAAUGCUGAUGUGCCACACUAUAGCUACAAAUCUUACAUUGAAGCGCCACCUGAUGAUGAUACAAAUGUAUACACAUGGUGUGUAAAUGGUGUUUAUUAUUUAUCACUCAAAGGGAUGUGGUAAUAACACAUUUUAAUAAAGACUUAAGUCAUUCAAACAAACA